AUUGAACGCUGGCGGCAUGCCUUACACAUGCAAGUCGAACGGCAGCACGGGAGCAAUCCUGGUGGCGAGUGGCGAACGGGUGAGUAAUAUAUCGGAACGUGCCCAGUCGUGGGGGAUAACGUAGCGAAAGUUACGCUAAUACCGCAUACGAUCUAAGGAUGAAAGCGGGGGACUCGCAAGAGCCUCGCGCGAUUGGAGCGGCCGAUAUCAGAUUAGGUAGUUGGUGGGGUAAAGGCUCACCAAGCCAACGAUCUGUAGCUGGUCUGAGAGGACGACCAGCCACACUGGAACUGAGACACGGUCCAGACUCCUACGGGAGGCAGCAGUGGGGAAUUUUGGACAAUGGACGCAAGUCUGAUCCAGCCAUUCCGCGUGCAGGAUGAAGGCCCUCGGGUUGUAAACUGCUUUUGUACGGAACGAAAAGGUUUCUAUUAAUACUAGGAGCUCAUGACGGUACCGUAAGAAUAAGCACCGGCUAACUACGUG
rnacentral:rRNA from 1 species